rnacentral:rRNA from 4 species
UUCAUGACUGGGGUGAAGUCGUAACAAGGUAGCGCUAGGGGAACCUGGCGCUGGAUCACCUCCUUA